AGGGGGCGGACAGCAGACAGCGGACGGCCGGGCCGUACACGGAGGCGACGGGCGGCGCCAACCGCGUGACUGCGUGCUGUCUCCAGCGGCACCGGCGGACGCGGCGGCCGUCAUCGUGUGUGACGCGUCGACUGACGGGGCCUCUGGCACCGGACGGGGGUCGGCGAGCGGUCUGUGAGCGGCCGAUGCGGCGCCAUGUGAGCGGUGAGGCCCGCCAGUGACGCCCGCGGACAAACAGUGACGAGCGACAGCGGCCCGCGUAUGGAGAGUCAGCUGUAGACAAACACACAGCCUCGUUGAUUACAGGCAUGACGCGUAUGUGGCAUUUGGCAUCCGCCUUGGUCCUAUGGACCGCCAUCGUCUUCCCCCUCACAGUCGACGGGUGCUCGGAGCCGCUGGGCCUGAUGACGGGG